rnacentral:rRNA from 1 species
UAACCAUUGACCUCGUAUAAAGUAAGAGUACCCGCUGAACUUAAGCAUAUCAAUAAGCGGAGGAAAAGAAACCAACAGGGAUUGCCUUAGUAGCGGCGAGUGAAGCGGCAAAAGCUCAGAUUUGAAAUCUGCCUCACGGCCGAGUUGUAAUCUGUAGAUGGCUACUCUGUAACAAGUCUUUGCUCAAGUUUUCUGGAAAGGAACAUCAUGGAGGGUGAUAAUCCCGUGAGGCAUUGGCGUCGUUGCGUGUAGAGGGUCAUCAAAGAGUCGAGUUGUUUGGGAAUGCAGCUCAAAGCGGGUGGUAGACACCAUCUAAAGCUAAAUAUUGGCGAGAGACCGAUAGCGAACAAGUACUGUGAAGGAAAGAUGAAAAGCACUUUGAAAAGAGAGUGAAAAAGUACGUGAAAUUAUUGAUACAGAAGGAUAUGCCAUUGGACGUUAUGUUUGGGCAUGCUUGUGCUUCGGCGCAGGUUUAACCCUCUCAUUUUACCAGCAUCAGUUUCGGCAGGAGGACAAACAACGCGGAAUGUAGCUGCUUGCAGUGUUAUAGACGUGUUGCAUACUCUUUGCUGGGACUGAGGCCCGCCAUUGCAGGAUGCUGGGGUAACGAUGGCAUAUCACCCGUCUUGAAACACGGACC